CGCCGCGGUAAUUCCAGCUCCAAUAGCGUAUAUUAAAGUUGUUGCAGUUAAAAAGCUCGUAGUUGAAUUUCGGGAUCAAUAUGUUGGUCGUGCCUUUGGUACGUACUAGCUUAUUGAUUUCUCCCUUCUGACGAACCAUGAUGUCAUUAAUUUGGUGUCAUGGGGAAUCAGGACUGUUACUUUGAAAAAAUUAGAGUGUUUAAAGCAGGCUUACGCUUGAAUAUAUUAGCAUGGAAUAAUGAAAUAGGACGUUUUGAUUCUAUUUUGUUGGUUUCUAGGAUCGACGUAAUGAUUAAUAGGGAUAGUUGGGGGCAUUAGUAUUCAAUUGUCAGAGGUGAAAUUCUUGGAUUUAUUGAAGACUAACUACUGCGAAAGCAUUUGCCAAGGAUGUUUUCAUUAAUCAAGAACGAAAGUUAGGGGAUCGAAGACGAUCAGAUACCGUCGUAGUCUUAACCAUAAACUAUGCCGACUAGGGAUCGGAUGAUGUUAAUUUUUUAAUGACUCAUUCGGCGCCUUACG
rnacentral:misc_RNA from 1 species